rnacentral:misc_RNA from 1 species
UCCGAGUUGACCCCGGCAGUCUCCUAUGAGUCCCCACCAUUACGUGCUGGCAACAUGAGACAAGGGUUGCGCUCGUUGCGGGACUUAACCCAACAUCUCACGACACGAGCUGACGACAGCCAUGCACCACCUGCACACAGACCUCAAGGGAAACCGCAUCUCUGCGAUCGUCCUGUGCAUGUCAAACCCAGGUAAGGUUCUUCGCGUUGCAUCGAAUUAAUCCACAUGCUCCGCCGCUUGUGCGGGCCCCCGUCAAUUUCUUUGAGUUUUAGCCUUGCGGCCGUACUCCCCAGGCGGGGUACUUAAUGCGUUAGCUACGGCACGGAUCCCAAGGAAGGAAACCCACACCUAGUACCCACCGUUUACGGCGUGGACUAC